rnacentral:rRNA from 1 species
GUCUAUGGCCAUGCUACCCUGAACAGGCCUGAUCCCAUCUGAUCUCAGAAGCUAAGCAGGGUCAGGCCUGGUUAGUACUUGGAUGGGAGACCACCUAGGAAGACCAGGUGCUACAGGCA